UUUAUACGACCGCAAAAAAAUUUUGUGGUCGUAUAUUGGUAUGACGUUGGCGUCGUCGUCGUCCGAAUACACAUUGGUUUUCGCACUCUAACUUUAGUUUAAGUAAAUGGAUCUUUUUGAAAUUUGACCAUAAGGUUAAAUACCACAAAAGGUAGGUUGGGAUUGAUUUUGGGGGUUAUGGUUCCAACAGUUAAGGAAUUAGGGGCCAAAAAGGGGCCAAAAAUAAGCAUUUUCUAGUUUCCAGACAAUAACUGUGGAACAGUGUAUGGAUCGCUCUGAAAUUAUACUACAAGUUUCCAUACCACAAAGGGAUGGUUAGGAUUUGCUUUGGGGGGUUAUGGCUCAAACCGUUUAGGAAUUAGGGGCAAAAAAGGGGGAAAAACAAGGUUGUCCUGGUUAAUGGACAAAUACUUUAGUACAAAACAUAAUUUAAAGCAGUGUAAGGGAGAUAAAUCAAAUACAUCAUUGAAAUUAUCUCCCUUACACUGCUUUUAAAUUAUGUAUAAAGUAAUGGUUAAUGAACAAUAAAGAUAAUUUAAAACAGUGUAAGGGAGGUAAUCAAAAUACAACGUUUUGGUUACUUCCCUUACACUGCUUUUAAAUUAUGUUUAAAGAAAUGCAUAUUUAUAAAGGAAGACCAGUAAAAAUAUCUGCAAAUGUUGCAUCUUUUUUUUUUACAAAAAAAUCCAUAUGAAAGAUUUGACACUAUAUUUUUAAUUCUAUUAUAAAAUAGAUUAAGUUAGCACUAUGGUAAAUUUAAAUGGGUAAUUAUGGUUGCCAACUCCAUUGGAAAUUUGAAUUGAGAUUAUGACCAUAUCUUGAGGGAAAGAAUUUUUUGGGGAAAAAAAAGGGGGGGGGGAUAAAAAGAAAUUGUGGGGGGUCAAUUUUUUCUCAUUUCAGAUUUCAGAAAUUAAAAAAAUUAUUCUUCAAAUAUUAUUUUUUUUUCAAAUUUCAAAUAUUGAAAAAUUUCAAGAAGAAAUCUUUAAUUGCACAGUAUGGCGCAUUAAAUUUGUAAAAUCUUUGAUCACAUUUAUUUAUUUGUUAUGCCGAAUCCAACAGUGUAUUUAGAUUUUUAAUUUUGGGUCCAGUUUUCAAAUUGGUCUACAUUAAGGUCCAAAGGGUCCAAAAUUUAACUUUGUUUGAUUUUAGCAAAAAUUGAAUAUAUGAGGUUCUUUGAUAUGCUGAAUCUAAACAUGUAUUUAGAUUUUUGAUUUUUGGCCCAGUUUUCAAGUUGGUCCAAAUUGGGGUCCAAAAUUGAACUUUGUUUGAUUUCAACAAAAAUUGAAUAUAUGGGGUUCCUUGAUAUGCUGAAUCUAACCAUGUAUUUAGAUUUUUUAUUUGUGGACCCUGUUAUCAAAUUGGUUCAUAUUGAGGUCAAAAGGGUCCAAAAUUAAACUUUAUUUGAUUUCAUCUAAAAUUGAAUUAUUGGGGUUCUUUGAUAUUCCAAAUCUAACCGUGUAUUUAGAUUUUUAAUUUUGGGUCCUGUUUUUGAAAUUGGUCUACAUUAAGGUCCAAAGGGUCCAAAAUUAAACUAAGUUUGAUUUUAACAAAAAUUGAAUUCUUGGGGUUCUUUGAUAUGCUGAAUCUAAACAUGUUUUUAGAUUUUUAAAGGCAGUGCUUUAAUGCCUUUCUAGUUGCCGGGUUAAUCCUUCCUUCCGCGAUAUCCAACUUAUCUACGUGGGGGGUCAUUAGGCUCCAAGUAGAUCCGGAAAUGUUGAAUUCUCUCCUCUUCUUAUUGUGAUAUAAAAUGUUUUUUGUUUCAUUUCAUUUACAUUGGGAAAUAGAGAAACGAUCAUUGUGUUUUGUUAGUUUUAAAAACUUUUGAUAUAUUUGUAUUUUGCAUUAUAAGCAGUCAACCGAUUGACAAACUAGAAUUAAUUGAAUUCCGUGUGGAAAGAGCUCGGGUUAAUUUCGAGUGUUAUCUGCAAUCUAGAUGUUUAUAAAUCAUUUCAGUCGUUGAUAUAAUAAUUAAGAGUCGACUGAACAUUAAUUAUAUUAUACAAUUUAAAGAACAUUUCUGUCUAUGCACGUGAACCCGUCUAACGUUAUUGUUAUUUCGCAGUUAUAUAAAGUAGCAAAUUAUCGUUCCUGAAUAGGUGGCGCCGUGGUAGCCGAUCCUGUUCCUCAACUUCCGGUUUCUGCACUGUGCAACUAUUUCAGUUACAUUUUUAAUUAACGAUGCCAAGUACUUGUUGUUGUGUUCCUGGAUGUCAUUUAAGAGGAGGACAUGCAUUUCCAAAUGACUUAAAAAGAAGGAAAAGUUGGAUCAACGCCAUGGCCCAAACGCAGAUUGGACGAGAACACGAUGAAAUCGUGGAGUCCAUCUCAAUCAGCUGUUGUUUGCAAGGCACAUUUUACUGAAAAAGACUACGUGCAGGAAACUAUUCAUGGGCGCAAACCCACCAUACAGAGACUUCAGUCUACUGCCAUUCCCAGCCUAUUUUCCUGGACCAAGCAAGAGACUGAAUCGUCCGCAAAAAGAAAAAUCAGGGCAGUUUCCUGUGAAAACAAAAGAACUAAACUUGAUGAAUAUUGUAGUAGAAAUCUAGAGGAAAGUUUUGAUUGUAAAGUUGGUUUUCCUGAAGAAGUCAUUCAUACUGCAGAAAGGAUUUAUGACUGUCCACCACCAACUGCCGAGCUAAUGUUGAGCUUCAAAGAUGGAAUUACGCAAACACCAUCAAUGUCUAUGUUUUCAGCAGAGAAUUUUGAAAUGAAGACACGUGACACAGCCAUGCAUUUUUAUACCGGUUUAGAGUUGUAUACUAAAUUUUUAUUUGUUUUGACCACACUUGGUCCAACAGCACAUUGUUUGAGAUACAUAUAUUUUCAAAUUGAUAGGGUGUCAGUUGAAAAUCAGUUUUUUUAUGACUUUGAUGAAAUUAAGGCAUUAUACAACCAACUUUGAACUUUCUAGAUUCAAGAUUGAAUCUAGUGUUAAGAAUAUUGUGUAUACAUGGAUUGUUUUUAUGCCUAAACAGUGGUGUGAGGCUAACACUUGGCCAUCUAGUGGUUUAGUCAGGCAUUUUUCGCCUUCCAACUUCAAAUUAAAGUUUCCUACGACUUGGAUUAUUAUUAACAGCACAGAAUAUCCCGUGAUAAAACCUAAAGCUCCUAGAGCUCAGGCAACCUUUUCAUCAUAUAAAAACAGAAACACUGAAAAUACUUGUAUGUUCAACGCCUGGUGGUUUAGUCAACUAUGUCUCUAAUGCACAUGUUGGUUCUACCAGUGACUAUGAAAUAGUUGAAAAAUGUAGAAUACAAAAUGUAGUUCAAUUAUGUGAUCCAGGUGACAGUGUGAUGGCAGACAAAGGUUUAAAUGUACAAAAGAAACAGAAUUAGUUCCAAAACUCUUAUACGGGAUAGAAAAGUCUCCAAUUAACAUGUGCACAUAGAGCGAAUUAUUGGACUUGGCAAAACAUACAAAAUUUUCACAAAUCCUAUGAAUGGAACUGAAACAAAACUUUCAUCUGAAAUAACAUUUAGUUGUUAUGUUGUGUAAUUUUAGAACUUGUAUUGUGCCAAAGGAUGCAGAAAUAAAAGUGACGCAAUGAA